GAUGAACGAAUUAAUUUGCGUACUACUAAGCUGUUUUUUUUAAACCCACAAUGGCGGAAGGAGGAGAAGAUAUCGAUUUGGUCGAGGAUAUAAUUUAUAACGCCAUUCUCAAGACAAACUUUUCAAGAAAAGUUAGACAUUGUCAGGAGAGGUCGCCCGACGCUACAAAGCCUGUCAGGCGGGAAUGGGGUUCGUUCGCCACUUUCAAAGUUUCAACUACGAGCGCUGUCAAUGGCUCACAGGCUCCGAGAAGCACUGCAAACUGUACUGCUGGGAAUGCCUAUUAUUUGCAAGUGAUGUAUUUGGUGUUUGGAGCCACACUGGCUUUGCAAACUUGAGUUGUCUAACCAAGGCAGCAAUGAGACACGGCUGGGCACUUACAAGUAAUGGUGCUUUUGAAAACUUUUGGGGACACCCGAGUGGAUCUACAGCUCAACGAACAAGCGCUCGGGGCAAUGGGAGCUGCACAAUGAAAAGGGUUAACUUGUGGUUGAAAGGAGAGGACUUGUGUGUUCUUCAGACAGCUCUUUGAACAGUCCAAGCCAGCUGAGAUGUUCAACACUUUGUAGGGAGACGGAUACAGUCGGCUUGGUGGAGAACACGGAGUCUCACCAGCCUCAAUCAGGAUCUUGUUCUCCAAGCCCUGCAGUCUGGGGUGAAGAACAUAUGGCCCUACUGACUUACAAAGCUUCCUCACAUGGGCAGACAGUUUCAGAACUGGCCCCAACUUUGAAUGGUUGAUUCUAUAUGUUUGCUAUAUUCUUUAUUCUAUAUUACAGUACCAGUCGAACAUUUGGACACACCUACUAAUUUAAGGGUUGUUCUUUAUUUGUACUUGUUUUCUACAUUUUAGAAUAAUAGUGAAGACAUCA